GCAGACGGAUGAUGUGACUUACUCUGAAGUCUCUUCUUCCAGUAAAAAGCCAGUAAAAUCGCUCAAAGAUCAUGAUGAUUCAGUGACUUACGCUGCCAUCAGAUGAACAGAAAAUGAGCCGCUGGGUGAACUUUACGCCUCUGUGAACAAGAACAAGAGCUGCACAAAUAAACAUUCAUAAUCCAGAUCACUGCAUGAGCUCCUCAUAUCAGCAGCAGAUGUGAUGUUUCCACCACUGCUGAGAUUCAUAAUCAAAGUGAUGUAAUGAA